AUUGAACGCUGGCGGCAGGCCUAACACAUGCAAGUCGAGCGGAUGAAGGGAGCUUGCUCCUGGAUUCAGCGGCGGACGGGUGAGUAAUGCCUAUGAAUCUGCCUGGUAGUGGGGGAUAACGUCCGGAAACGGGCGCUAAUACCGCAUACGUCCUGAGGGAGAAAGUGGGGGAUCUUCGGACCUCACGCUAUCAGAUGAGCCUAGGUCGGAUUAGCUAGUUGGUGGGGUAAAGGCCUACCAAGGCGGCGAUCCGUAACUGGUCUGAGAGGAUGAUCAGUCACACUGGAACUGAGACACGGUCCAGACUCCUACGGGAGGCAGCAGUGGGGAAUAUUGGACAAUGGGCGAAAGCCUGAUCCAGCCAUGCCGCGUGUGUGAAGAAGGUCUUCGGAUUGUAAAGCACUUUAAGUUGGGAGGAAGGGCAGUAAGUUAAUACCUUGCUGUUUUGACGUUACCAACAGAAUAAGCACCGGCUAACUUCGUG
rnacentral:rRNA from 1 species